UUUUCCCCACCAUGCCAAAAAGAAAACAGUAGGAAAAUGGUUCCUUUCAGCAUUAUCUCCGUUUGCUGUCCCGCCAACGCACGGACCAUUCCCAUCCGCUGAAAAUCUCUCCACCCCGGCCCCGGCCCCGGCCGCGGCCAUGGCGGCCUCCGCUCCCAUCCACCUCCUCCUCUCGCCCUCCCGCUCUACAUGGCCGCCACAAGAUCCGAGCCUGAGGCCCAUACCGCCCCUCCACGCGUGGCCGGCGCGCCAACGCCAUCUCCGCGCUGCCCGCUGCGCGUUGUCGCCGCCUACGCCGUCGCUCGACCUCCCGCUCCUCCCGUUCCAGCCUGCGGAGGUGUUGAUACCAUCUGAAUCGAAGACUCUACACUUGUAUGAAGCAAGAUAUAUAGCAUUGCUUGAGGAGGCCUUGUACAAGAGGGAAAAAUCUUUUGUUCACUUUGUGCUUGAUCCAGUUGUAGAUAGCUCUACUAAAGCUUCAUUUGCUGUAAGAUAUGGCUGCUUGGUCCACAUAGAAAGUGUUCAAAAGCUGGAGAUUGGAGCGUUGUUAUCAAUUAGAGGAGUGUGCCGUGUAAACAUUUCGAAUCUUUUGGAUGUUUAUGCAUCCGGGGGUUCAAGCUGGAUUAUCGACAGCGGAUGCACAAACCAUAUGACGGGGGAGAAGAAGAUGUUCACCUCCUACGUCAAAAAUAAGGAUUCCCAAGAUUCAAUUGUAUUCGGUGAUGGGAAUCAAGGCAAGGUAAAAGGGUUAGGUAAAAUUGCAAUUUCUAAUGAGCACUCUAUCUCUAAUGUGUUUUUAGUAGAGUCUCUUGGUUAUAAUUUGCUAUCUGUUAGUCAAUUAUGCAACAUGGGAUAUAACUGUCUAUUUACAAAUGUAGAUGUGUCUGUCUUUAGAAGAAGUGAUGGUUCACUAGCUUUUAAGGGUGCAUUAGACGGCAAACUUUAUUUAGUUGAUUUUGCAAAAGAAGAGGCCGGUCUAGAUGCAUGCUUAAUAGCUAAGACUAGCAUGGGCUGGCUGUGGCAUCGUCGCUUAGCACAUGUGGGGAUGAAGAACCUUCACAAGCUUCUAAAGGGAGAACAUGUGAUAGGUUUGACUAACGUGCAAUUCGAAAAGGAUAGACCUUGUGCAGCUUGUCAAGCAGGUAAACAAGUGGGAGGAGCGCAUCACAGCAAGAAUGUGAUGACCACUUCAAGACCUCUGGAGCUGUUGCAUAUGGACCUCUUCGGACCCGUCGCCUAUCUGAGCAUAGGAGGGAGUAAGUAUGGUCUAGUUAUUGUAGAUGAUUUUUCCCGCUUCACUUGGGUGUUCUUUUUGCAGGAUAAGUCCGAAACCCAAGGGACCCUCAAACGCUUCCUCAGGAGAGCUCAAAAUGAGUUUGAGCUCAAAGUGAAGAAGAUAAGGAGCGACAACGGAUCCGAGUUCAAGAACCUUCAAGUGGAAGAGUUCCUUGAAGAGGAAGGGAUCAAGCACGAGUUCUCCGCUCCCUACACACCACAGCAAAAUGGUGUGGUAGAGAGGAAGAACAGGACACUCAUCGAUAUGGCGAGGACGAUGCUAGGAGAGUUCAAGACCCCCGAGUGCUUUUGGACGGAAGCCGUUAACACUGCUUGCCACGCCAUCAACAGGGUCUACCUUCAUCGCCUCCUCAAGAAGACGUCGUAUGAGCUACUAACCGAUGAAGAAGACGUUCCAACGGCCGCCAUACGCACCAUGGCGAUUGGAGAAGUGCGGCCACAGGAACAAGAUGAGCAAGAUCAACCCUCUUCCUCAAUUAUGGUGCAUCCCCCGACUCAAGACAAUGAACAGGUUCAUCAAAAGGAGGCGUGUGAUCAAGGGGGAGCACAAGAUGAUCACGUGAUGGAGGAAGAAGCGCAACCGGCACCUCCAACCCAAGUUCGAGCGACGAUCCAAAGGGAUCAUCCCGUCGACCAAAUUCUGGGUGACAUUAGCAAGGGAGUAACUACUCGGUCUCGAUUAGUUAAUUUUUGUGAACAUUACUCUUUUGUCUCUUCUAUUGAGCCUUUCAGGGUAGAAGAGGCCUUGCUAGAUCCGGACUGGGUGUUGGCCAUGCAAGAGGAGCUAAACAACUUCAAGCGCAAUGAAGUUUGGACACUGGUGCCUCGUCCGAAGCAAAAUGUUGUGGGAACCAAGUGGGUGUUCCGCAACAAACAGGACGAGCACGGGGUGGUGACGAGGAACAAGGCUCGACUUGUGGCAAAAGGUUAUGCCCAAGUCGCAGGUUUGGACUUUGAGGAGACUUUUGCUCCUGUGGCUAGGCUAGAGUCCAUUCGUAUUUUGCUAGCAUAUGCCGCUCACCAUUCUUUCAGGUUGUACCAAAUGGAUGUGAAGAGCGCUUUUCUCAAUGGGCCAAUCAAGGAGGAGGUGUACGUAGAGCAACCCCCUGGCUUUGAGGAUGAACGGUACCCCGACCAUGUGUGUAAGCUCUCUAAGGCGCUCUAUGGACUUAAGCAAGCCCCAAGAGCAUGGUAUGAAUGCCUUAGAGACUUCUUAAUUGUUAAUGCUUUCAAGGUUGGGAAAGCCGAUCCAACUCUUUUUACAAAGACAUGUGAUGGUGAUUUGUUUGUGUGCCAAAUUUAUGUCGACGACAUAAUAUUUGGUUCAACUAACCAAAAGUCUUGUGAAGAGUUUAGCAGGGUGAUGACGCAGAAAUUCGAGAUGUCGAUGAUGGGCGAGUUGAACUACUUCCUUGGGUUCCAAGUGAAGCAACUCAAGGACGGCACCUUCAUCUCCCAAACGAAGUACACGCAAGAUCUACUAAAGCGGUUUGGGAUGAAGGACGCCAAGCCCGCAAAGACGCCGAUGGGAACCGACGGACACACAGACCUCAACAAAGGAGGUAAGUCCGUUGAUCAAAAAGCAUACCGGUCAAUGAUAGGGUCUUUACUUUAUUUAUGUGCUAGUAGACCGGAUAUUAUGCUUAGCGUAUGCAUGUGUGCUAGAUUUCAAUCCGAUCCUAAGGAAUGUCACUUAGUGGCGGUGAAGCGAAUUCUUAGAUAUUUAGUUGCUACGCCUUGCUUCGGGCUCUGGUAUCCAAAGGGGUCUACUUUUGACUUGGUUGGAUACUCAGACUCCGACUAUGCUGGAUGUAAGGUCGAUAGGAAGAGUACAUCAGGGACGUGCCAAUUCCUAGAAAGGUCCCUGGUGUCUUGGAAUUCUAAGAAACAAACCUCCGUUGCCCUAUCCACCGCUGAGGCCGAGUAUGUUGCCGCAGGACAGUGUUGCGCGCAACUACUUUGGAUGAGGCAAACCCUCAGGGACUUUGGCUACAAUCUGAGCAAAGUCCCACUCCUAUGUGAUAAUGAGAGUGCUAUCCGCAUGGCGGAAAAUCCUGUUGAACACAGCCGCACAAAGCACAUAGACAUCCGGCAUCACUUUUUGAGAGACCACCAGCAAAAGGGAGAUAUCGAAGUGUUUCAUGUUAGCACCGAGAACCAGCUAGCCGAUAUCUUUACCAAGCCUCUAGAUGAGAAGACCUUUUGCAGGCUGCGUAGUGAGCUAAAUGUCUUAGAUUCGCGGAACUUGGAUUGAAUUGUAGCAUACAUGUGUUUAUGCCCUUGAUCAUGUUCAUUCUGCAUUUUGUUGCUUAUUGUGGUGCUCAAGUUGUACAAACACUCCCUGGACCUCACAAGUCCAUUGCAAAGUGAUGCACAUGUUUAGGGGGAGAUGUGUUACAACUUGACCCUUUGAGACUAACCAUAUGCUUGAGUUUGCGUGAUUCAGUCUCGAAGGAGAAUUGAAAGGGAAAAGGUGGACUUGGACCAUGAAAGACUUCCACUGCACUCCGAUGAGAGGAUGGAGCCCUAUUUCCGUGGUACAGUUUCUCCAAUGAUGGAUGGGCCUUAUGACGCUAUUGAAUUAGAGACAAGAAUUUCCAAGCUAAAAGAAUCCAUGUGCAAUUUACACAGCCUACAAAUGAAGUUGAAGGUACCUGAGGAUGAACCACUGCAAACUAACAUCAGGGCAUCUCUACUGUGGUCCGAGAAAGAAAGUUUUGAAGAGUAUAAUGAGUCUUUUAUCCCUGGACGCCCAGAACGUCUCUCAUUUGCUGCGUACCAAACAGUUUCAGGCAUGUCAGAUGAACUUCUCACUGUGCAAAACUACAAGAUACAAGCAAUGGAUUCGACAGACACCCUUGAAAGGCUGAACACUGGUAUCAAGUUUGUAGAACAUAACAUCGGAAUGAUAGCCGCAAGGCUUGCCAUUCAAAAUAUAUGAUCCUCAUUGGCAGUGUUUAGUUCAUAUGCUAAAUGAUGUCCGUGAUGCUAACUCCAUCUGGUCGUAAAAAAGAACUCAAAGCUUUUCAAGUUUCAACUGUAAACGUGGAAGGUCUGAUCUGGUACAUUCGGAUAACUUCUGACAUAACUUUGAUAUACAUUCAGAGAACAGUACGAAGAUGAAGAACACAAUAUGAAGUUGCCUGCUCA